ACUCUACUCUCACAAACUCUUCGGUCUUGAAGGCCUCUCUCACUCUCUCCACCACAUUCACAUACACACCAUUCCUGGUCAGUUUCAUUAGGGCGGGAGAAUUUAGUCCUCUAUUUCUCAUUUCUUUUGUUUCUUCAAACGUCAGGCCAUCAGCUAUAUUCUUGACAAGCUUUGGAUAUAUGGGAGCAUAAGGCUUCCACAACAUGCGAGGUAUAAUAACCCUGUUCUUUGGAUCAUAGUUUCGACCCCUAUAUAAAAGAAGGAUAUUGAUAUGCCUGUAGAUAAUCUUUCC
rnacentral:misc_RNA from 1 species